UACAGAGACUGCGAGCGUUAUUCGGAUUCACUGGGCGUAAAGCGUGCGCAGGCGGCUUCUCAAGUCAGGGGUGAAAGCCCAGAGCUCAACUCUGGAAUUGCCUUUGAGACUGAGUGGCUUGAGUACGAGAGAGGUGAGUGGAAUUCCCAGUGUAGAGGUGAAAUUCGUAGAUAUUGGGAAGAACACCGGUGGCGAAGGCGGCUCACUGGCUCGUAACUGACGCUCAUGCACGACAGCGUGGGGAUCAAACAGG
rnacentral:rRNA from 1 species